GCCGGGGUGUCGGAACUGGUAGACGAGGCGGACUCAAAAUCCGCUGGGCGCGAGCCCGUGCGGGUUCGACUCCCGCCCCCGGCACCA
rnacentral:tRNA from 1 species